rnacentral:rRNA from 1 species
UACGGGGGGGGUAAGCGUUGUUCGGAAUUACUGGGCGUAAAGGGCGCGUAGGCGGCCAGCACAAGUCAGUUGUGAAAUCUCCGAGCUUAACUCGGAAAGGUCAACUGAUACUGUGCGGCUAGAGUGCGGAAGGGGCAACUGGAAUUCUUGGUGUAGCGGUGAAAUGCGUAGAUAUCUGGAGGAAUACCGGUGGCGAAGGCGGCGUUCUGGACUGCAACUGACACUGAUGAACGAAAGCCAGGGGAGCAAACGGG